UACGUAGGGCGCAAGCGUGUCCGGAAUUAUUGGGCGUAAGAGCUCGUAGGCGGUUUGUCGCGUCUGCUGUGAAAACCUAAGGCUCAACCUUGGGCUUGCAGUGGGUACGGGCAGACUAGAGUGCGGUAGGGGUGACUGGAAUUCCUGGUGUAGCGGUGGAAUGCGCAGAUAUCAGGAGGAACACCGAUGGCGAAGGCAGGUCACUGGGCCGGCAACUGACGCUGGAGGAGC
rnacentral:rRNA from 1 species